UUUAACCGUAACAAAAUUCAUUACCUACACUUCUAGCCAAAGAAUAACCGAAUUUGUAUUCUACAACAACAGUUUCGUCAACAUCAAGGUUUUCUUCUCAAAUCUCUAGCUUCUUCUAUCGCAGCAACGCUUCCAUGAAUUUCAUUCAAUCCAAUAAUCAAUAGCUUGGAGCCACUGAACGAAAUUUGAAUGGUUCACAUUCUGAGCUCCUAGUCUAAAUCUGAUUACCUGAAGUUGGAAUUUGAGUCAUUUAUCAAACAGUUCCAAUUUAUUGACGCCGCUGUGGUUAAGAUUGUGAAUUAAUCACGUGAUAGAUUGGAAGUUGGAAUUUGAGUCAUUCGAUCUACAUCAUCAUGUGAUAGAUUGUUGAGUUUGUGAGACACGUCAAUCUCAAGUGAUUCCAAAAAUGAUAUUUUCAGGGUCAGGUUUGUACGACCUAAUUUCUGUUACAGUCUAAUCACUGGUUCUGCCACUGGCAUGCAGACAGGCUUCUUGCUCCUCAAAUCGCCCUCUGUGGUGUAGUCAAGCUGGUAUGGUUCCAACUCUGUUAGGUGUGCUGCCUAGCAGAUUUACAUCCCCAUCACAUUGUCUCCACAACCCUUGAAGGAUGUAUGAGACAAGAGAGCGUUGAGAGAAGAAAAAGAGAAGAGGGACUAAAGAAGGAUCUUGCCAUGCUGAGAUGAGAGAAGAGAAAAAGUCGAAAAAUUGAGUACAGUGGUGCCGCUACAAAAGGGAUAUUAUGGUAAUUGUUAUCUUGGUAGAAUCCUACGGUCCUUGUUACUAUCCUACAACUUUUCAUUUUGCAACCCCUCUCUUUAUUCUAGGUAGGAUCUUGAUCUUCAUAACCUUGAUUGAAAUAGUGAAUGAGUGAAUUCUUAACUUCAUGAUAUUUAAGUCCAUGGAUACUCUUUAGUGGGUGGGUGCUACUGUUGAAGAGACCAGUGGAGGUACGUUCUCUUCAUAUUACAUAAAUUUAUAUGCUAUUCUUUAUAUGUUGAGUGGAGUUGUCUUGGUAAGUGGUUCAGGGAAAAACGGUACAUUCCAAUCCCAUUUUAUUUCGUUGGCUCUGCCAAUACUUUGUUCUUUCUUUUUUUUCUUUAAAAUUAAAGGGGAUCAAUGGUGCUCUGCACUUACCCCCUUAUGACUCGAACCCACAACCCUUGGGUGUAGGUGAAGCGUCUUACCAACUAAGCUGUGCUUUGUUGUCUACUUUGUUCUUUUCUAUUUUCACAAUUUCAGAACACUUAAACAUGAGAUUUGCUUCCCCAUUCCACACGGAACCCAAGUUGAACUAGAUAUUAUGUGGCUUAUGAAAUAUUAAAAAUUUGAUGCUAACCUUUUUUUACAAGUAUGGUACAACCUAAUUAAAUUUGUAAUAGAAUUUAUAUUGCUGUUGUAAGUUGUUGUGGUAAUGAUGUCUAAGUUGAUAUUGGAUUUUUAUUUUGAACCUGAUUUUUUUUUCUUUUUUUGGGUGGGGGUGUUAUGAUUAUUUGUCUCAUUUUGAGGAGUAGGCUUGUGAGUAAUAUUUUGUUUGUUUUAAUGAGUGGUAUACAAAGCGGCUAAGAGGGAAAAGAUGUAGAGAAUUUUUUGAAUCCCUCUAAAUUAUUUCCCCAAUUCAUUUUUUCAGUUCCUCCAAAUUGGUGGAUCUGAAGAGAUAUAUUUUCCCGAAAGGUAGGGAGCUAUCCUCCCUUCCUUUCACCCCAAAAUCCUUCCUCCUCUUUCCUUCCUAAAUCCCAAACGGAGGCAUGGUCUUUGCUCUUUAAGUUUUUGUUAAUGGCUAAUUAUAGUAUUUUUUCCCUCUAAAAUGCGGUAUGUUGGAAGAUCAUUCUUUUCAGAAAGCCUUUUGGUCUAUUAAUUUCUAGCUAAUGUCAUGAAGUUGUACCAAUGGCAAGCAAAGCUCAACAUUGGGGGUGCUUAUCAAUUUCACAUAUAUUGUAUUGGUAACAGCGAUUAUAGUUGAUUAAAAUGCUACAUCCUUUUCCAUGGACAAAUCAAUUUUAACGAGUAGGCGAAGAGCCAAAUUGACCGGUAUAAUAAGAAUAGAUCAUUGUCAUCCCAGAUGAGCUGACAAUUUGAGACUGGAUGAAGUCCAUCAAAGCACAUUUAUGGCAAACUUGCUGAGACUGAAGGUUAGUCUGACCCAUUUUUAAGAAAUGUUGUUUGUUUGAUUGAAGACUGGAUGAAAUCUAUCAAAGCACAUUUAUGGCAAACUUGCUGAGACUGGAGGUUUUUAAUGAGAUUCUUCUGAAAGGACUGCUUGACAAAGAUGGCCUCUACAAAUUUCCCAGCCUGCUCCAUCCUACUGCACUUUCAGCUUCCUGUCCUAAUUCUAGUUCUGCUUUAUCUUUGUAUUGCAAAUAGAUUUCCUGUUUUAAGUACAUAUGUAGUUUAAUUUCUUACUCUACUUGGCCUUCUAGAUUUGCCCAUCCAAGUUUUGAUUUACAACGCAUUGUAUUGAAACCUUGCAAUAUUCCUUUCUCAAAUAUACAAGGUGAGCCUUGACGCAACGGUAAAGUUGUUGUCACGUGAUUGAAAGGUCACGGGUUCAAAUCCUAGAAACAGCGUCUUGUGUAUAUGCACUUCCGAGUUAUGCACUUCCUGUUGUUUGGGCAAAAGCACACAGGCUUCCCUCUCAUUCAUCUAGUACCACCUAUAGUGGCCCCUCUGUAAUUAAUAUACAGGGACUUGUGGGGCUCUGCUCCCUUUACAUCCACUACUGGGUUUAUAUAUUACAUUACCUUCGUUGAUGCAUUCACUAGAAUUAGUUGGAUCUGUCUUCUAAAAAGAAAAUUUGAUGCUCUUCAUAUCUGUCAGCAAUUCAAAACCAUGGUUGAAAAUCAGUUUUCUCAUAAAGUCAAAUAUGUCCAAGCUAAUUGGGAUGGGGGUUGAACAGUCACUCCAUUUCUAAACUAGUGUGGUAUUGUAACCUAUCUUAUUUGUCCUCACACUCACCACCACAAUGUUGUUGAGCGAAAACACAGAUAAAUUGUUAAACUUGGUCUUACCUUACUUGCCCAAACAGCUCUGCCUUUUGCCUAUUGGCAUUUCUCACUAGUGUCUACCUCAUCAAUAGACUUCCCACUUCAGCUUUCAAUUUUUAAAGUGCCUUACACCACACUCUUCCACAAUCAGCCUUAUUAUAUUUUUCUUAGAAAUUUUGGUUGUGCCCGUUUUCUUUUGCCAAGGACAUACAACAGUUAUAAUGUGUCUGUUUUCUUUUGCCAGGGCCAUACAACAGUCAUAAGUUGCAAUUCAGGUCAUAGGAGUUAUUUUUUCUUGAUUAUUUCACCUCCCAUAAAGUCUAUGAGUGCUUUUCUCCAGAUGGCCGCCUUCGGAUCUCUAUAUGUCAUGAAGUCAAAGCAUAUGUUGCAUUGCUCCAGAACAAAACCUGGACACUGGUUCCUUUACCUCUUGACAGAGCUCCUAUUUGCUGCAAAUGGGUAUUCCACACCAAAGAGGAUUAUAAUGGUUCAAUUAAUUAGUAUAAGGCUUGCCUAGUUGCAAAGUUUACCACUAAAAGUUUGGUGAUGAUUACCCUGAGAACUUUUCUAGAGAAAUCCCCAAAUGUUGAGAAUAACCAAGGACAACUCCUGAACCUCUUGGCAACAAUAUUCCAGUACAUUUGGAGGAAAAGGGUUGGGAACCCAUCAGGCCUUGGUGACUUGAGAGGAUGCAUUUGAUUAAGGGUUGCCUAAUGGUUUCUCACUUAGUCUUCCCCUCGCAGCAUCACAGGUCGUAUAUUAACUCUGAUGAGAAAGAAGUGGAAAAAACAUCAGAGAAAUGGUUUCUCCUCCUACAUGAUUUCAUCAUUUCUGCUACUCUUUUUCGAUUUUAAGAAGACUGCAGUGUAUUUAUUUAUCGGAGCUUAUCUUCAUACAUGGUUUCAUGAUUUUGGCUACUGGUAGUCUGUGGCGUUUCAUACGACCAGAUGCACUGCACUUGUGUUAGCCUUAGAGGUUGUCACCUGGUUGGUUAAAAAUCGGUUUGUUUGAGCGGUAAUAAUUAAAUAAUUACCCAUCUGUUUUACUUUCUCUGGGCUGUUACAAGACUUUAAAUGUGUUUUAUUUUGUAUAAAUUUGUGUGCUGUUAUAAUACUGUCGACAAAAACAGUUUGUUCUUUGGGAAACUGUGACAAUCUGGCUUCACAGGAAAACUGGUUUAGCAAAAGUGACGGAUUCUAGUAGAAGUUUAAUCUUUGGAAAAAAAAUGGGAAAAAGCUCAAAAGAAAGCGAUCAAUUUUCAUUUAUAGAGAACGAAACGAAGCUGAUAUUCAAAUGAUUUUUAAUAAGCAAUCAAUUUUCAUUUGAGCUCAUAAAACAAGCAAAAACUACAAAAGAGACCAAGCUCUCAAAAACAGGUUACCAACUUUUGCGAAUCAUUUUCUGGAACAGAAUCUCUGGGUGCAGAAUAUGUUGCCACCGCUUCAUCUCUGCAAUAUGUGUUUAAUUUACAAGCCUGGUUAUCUCCCACACGGAUUGAGUUAACACAUCUCUUACAUAUAAACUUGGAAGGCAUCCCAUCAGCACUGUCAAUUCCAGCACAUCUGGUAUGCAGCCAGACACCACAGGUAUCACAUGCUAACAUCCUUUCUCCGUCAUCAUCCUUAGUACCACAAAUGCAGUCAACUUUCCAUUCUUCUGUUCCUCGUUCCAUUCGGAAUCGGGCUAAGCCAUUUUUAGCAGGGCAUUCUCCUUGAACUUCAACUGAUCCAUAAGUUGAUCCCAGAAGGAAUUUUAGGGUAUACUCACGUUCUCUGGUUAAACCAUAUCCUAGAAGUUUCACAGCAACAAACUUCUUGUACAUUCCAUAUACCUCUUGAAAAACACUAGUGACUUCAUUCAAAAGGUCAGCAUUAGUAGCAUUCAAAGGCAGCACAAUUAACUCUGGCGGUGGUGUUGGGUGGUCUUCUUUAGGAUGGUCAGAGAGUUUCACAUGACACCAGAUCUUAAGAGCUGAAGGCAGCACUGUGGUCAUUUGCUCAAUUUUGUAAUCCUUCAUAAAUUGCUUACAGUCAAGAAGCUUUCUGGCUGAAUCAGCCACUGUUUUCCUAUUAAUCUUUGGUCUAUAUUUGAUCAUUUUUUCA